rnacentral:lncRNA from 1 species
UUAGGUAUAUAGGUAAGUAUAUAAAUACGUGAGGGUUCAGAAGAGAAUCAGAAGUGUUGGAGGUUUCGAGUUACGAGUACUGGUACUGGGCAUUAUUCGAAAUGAAGGUUACACUGCUGCUUCUUCUGGUGGUCGUCGCGAUGACAACAUCUCGGCACGUGGAAUCAACCUACCAAUAUUGCGGUAAAAGACUGCAGACAGUGCUUUCGUUCCUCUGUCCAGACUUAACCGAGUUUCCAAUUGAUGAUACUAUUCCGGCGAGUGAGAAUCUAAACGCAACUGAGAAGAGUAAGCGAGAUUACCGACUCACAAUAGCCAGAGAAUGCUGCGAAAACUCUUGCGAGUUGAGAAUUUUAGAAUCUUAUUGCUUGUCAGACAAAAAUGAUGAUUAAAACAUUUUCCACUCCAACGCAAAUUGAGAUAGCGUGGGCUUAUUGGAAAAUAUGUUUUUUUUUAUUAUUUCUUUGGAUCUUACUUUGUGUUUGUUACCUAUCAUUUGGGAUUUAUGUAGAUAGGUAUAUCAAAAAAAACUUUGACGAAAU